UAAGUUAAAAGUGUGCAUACAUUUGUGCAAAAUUACGGUUGAAGGAAAAUAUAUGAUAAAUAAAUGGAAUUGUAAAUGUAUGAAGGUAUUUCAUUAAAUUUCAUCAAUUGACCGACAAAGCAAUAACGUCACUGAACGCUUGGUUGAAUUCGAAACCCCCGGCAUUUUGGAAAUUUACAGAAGACAUUUGCAUUAUUAUUAUCCAACGUAAAUAGCACACUUUAUAGCUGGAAAAAAGUUACACAAUGAAGUUCCACAUUUUGAUUGUUGUGUUUGUUGCAACUCUAUUUCAGUGUAUUGUGGACAGCCAAGAUAAUUACCAAGAGAUGAUAAACUUCAACAAAGAACUAGAACAACAAGAUAGUACCCAACAGUUAAUCAAUCUCUACGGCGAAGAAAUACAAGG